GAGUUUGAUUAUGGCUCAGGAUGAACGCUAGCGAUAGGCUUAACACAUGCAAGUCGAGGGGCAGCAUGAUCUUAGCUUGCUAAGGUUGAUGGCGACCGGCGCACGGGUGCGUAACGCGUAUGCAACUUGCCUUACAGAGGGGGAUAACCCGUUGAAAGACGGACUAAUACCGCAUACACUUGUUUGGUUGCAUGAUCGGGCAAGGAAAUAUUUAUAGCUGUAAGAUAGGCAUGCGUCCCAUUAGCUGGUUGGUGAGGUAACGGCUCACCAAGGCUACGAUGGGUAGGGGAACUGAGAGGUUUAUCCCCCACACUGGUACUGAGACACGGACCAGACUCCUACGGGAGGCAGCAGUGAGGAAUAUUGGUCAAUGGGCGAGAGCCUGAACCAGCCAAGUCGCGUGAAGGAAGACUGUCCUAAGGAUUGUAAACUUCUUUUAUACGGGAAUAACGGGCGAUACGUGUAUUGCUAUGAA
rnacentral:rRNA from 1 species